rnacentral:rRNA from 1 species
UAGAGUUUGAUCAUGGCUCAGAUUGAACGCUGGCGGCAGGCCUAACACAUGCAAGUCGAGCGGGGUUUUCGGACCUAGCGGCGGACGGGUGAGUAAUGCGUAGGAAGCUACCCGAUAGAGGGGGAUACCAGUUGGAAACGACUGUUAAUACCGCAUAAUGUCUACGGACCAAAGUGUGGGACCUUCGGGCCACAUGCUAUCGGAUGCGCCUACGUGGGAUUAGCUAGUUGGUGAGGUAAUGGCUCACCAAGGCGACGAUCCCUAGCUGGUUUGAGAGGAUGAUCAGCCACACUGGAACUGAGACACGGUCCAGACUCCUGCGGGAGGCAGCAGUGGGGAAUAUUGGACAAUGGGCGCAAGCCUGAUCCAGCCGUGCCGCGUGUGUGAAGAAGGCCUUCGGGUUGUAAAGCACUUUCAGUUGGGAGGAAGGGUUGUGUGUUAAUAGUACACAGCCUUGACGUUACCAACAGAAGAAGCACCGGCUAACUCUGUGCCAGCAGCCGCGGUAAU